AUUGAACGCUGGCGGCAUGCCUUACACAUGCAAGUCGAACGGCAGCGGGGGAGAAGCUUGCUUUUCCUGCCGGCGAGUGGCGAACGGGUGAGUAAUACAUCGGAACGUGCCCCGUAGUGGGGGAUAACUAGUCGAAAGAUUAGCUAAUACCGCAUACGACCUGAGGGUGAAAGUGGGGGACCGCAAGGCCUCAUGCUAUAGGAGCGGCCGAUGUCUGAUUAGCUAGUUGGUGGGGUAAAGGCCUACCAAGGCGACGAUCAGUAGCUGGUCUGAGAGGACGAUCAGCCACACUGGGACUGAGACACGGCCCAGACUCCUACGGGAGGCAGCAGUGGGGAAUUUUGGACAAUGGGCGAAAGCCUGAUCCAGCAACGCCGCGUGAAUGAAGAAGGCCUUAGGGUUGUAAAGUUCUUUUACAUGGGAGCAAGUUCAGUAGGUUAAGAGCUGAUUAAAUUGAGAGUACCAUGAGAAUAAGCACCGGCUAACUACGUGCCAGCCGCCGCGGUAA
rnacentral:rRNA from 1 species